rnacentral:rRNA from 1 species
AACGAACGCUGGCGGCAGGCCUAACACAUGCAAGUCGAGGGGUAGAAGUUGCUUGCAACUUUGAGACCGGCGCACGGGUGCGUAACGCGUAUGCAAUCUACCUUUUACAGAGGGAUAGCCCAGAGAAAUUUGGAUUAAUACCUCAUAGUAUCUUCGGAAGGCAUCUUCUGAUUAUUAAAGUUCCAACGGUAAAAGAUGAGCAUGCGUCCUAUUAGCUAGUUGGUGUGGUAACGGCACACCAAGGCUACGAUAGGUAGGGGUCCUGAGAGGGAGAUCCCCCACACUGGUACUGAGACACGGACCAGACUCCUACGGGAGGCAGCAGUGAGGAAUAUUGGUCAAUGGGCGCAAGCCUGAACCAGCCAUGCCGCGUGCAGGAAGACGGUCCUAUGGAUUGUAAACUGCUUUUGUACGGGAAGAAACACUCCCUCGUGAGGGAGCUUGGCGGUACCGUAAGAAUAAGGAUCGGCUAACUCCGUGCCAGCAGCCGCCGUAAAAC